rnacentral:rRNA from 1 species
UACGUAGGGGGCAAGCGUUGUCCGGAUUUAUUGGGCGUAAAGCGCGUGUAGGUGGCCAUGUAGGUCCGCUGUGAAAACUUGAGGCUCAACCUCAAGCUGUCGGUGGAAACCACAUGGCUAGAGUCCGGAAGAGGAGAGUGGAAUUCCUGGUGUAGCGGUGAAAUGCGCAGAUAUCAGGAAGAACACCAAUGGCGAAGGUAGCUCUCUGGGACGGUACUGACACUGAGACGCGAAAGCGUGGGGAGCGAACAGG